AUACGUAGGGUGCAAGCGUUAAUCGGAAUUACUGGGCGUAAAGCGUGCGCAGGCGGUUCGGAAAGAAGGAUGUGAAAUCCCAGGGCUCAACCUUGGAACUGCAUUCUUAACUACCGAACUAGAGUAUGUCAGAGGGGGGUAGAAUUCCGCGUGUAGCAGUGAAAUGCGUAGAUAUGCGGAGGAAUACCGAUGGCGAAGGCAGCCCCCUGGGAUAAUACUGACGCUCAUGCACGAAAGCGUGGGUAGCAAACAGGAUUAGAUACCCUGGUAGUCCACGCCCUAAACGAUGUCAACUAGCUGUUGGGCCCUUCGGGGCUUAGUAGCGUAGCUAACGCGUGAAAUUGACCGCCUGGGGAGUACGGUCGCAAGAUUAAAACUUAAAGGAAUUGACGGGG
rnacentral:rRNA from 1 species